rnacentral:rRNA from 1 species
CGGGGUGCAGCAGGCGCGAAAACUUUGCAAUACACGAAAGUGUGACAGGGUCAUCCCGAGUGCCGACCGCUGAGGUUGGCUUUUACCCAGUCUAGAAAGCUGGGGGAAUAAGGAGAGGGCAAGUCUGGUGUCAGCCGCCGCGGUAAUACCAGCUCUCCGAGUGGUGUGGACGUUUAUUGGGCCUAAAGCAUCCGUAGCUGGCUGAACAAGUCCCCUGUUAAACCCACCGAUUUAAUCGUUGGUCUGCGGGGGAUACUGCUCGGCUAGGGGACGAGAGAGGCAGGCGGUAUUCUCGGGGUAGGGGUGAAAUCCUAUAAUCCCGGGAAGACCACCAGUGGCGAAGGCUGCCUGCUAGAGCGCGCCCGACGGUGAGGGAUGAAAGCUGGGGGAGCGAACCGGAUUAGAUACCCGGGUAGUCCCAGCUGUAAACGAUGCAGACUAGGUGUUUGGACGGCCACGUGCCGUUCUAGUGCCGCAGGGAAGCUGUUAAGUCUGCCGCCUGGGGAGUACGAUCGCAAGAUUGAAACUUAAAGGAAUUGGCGGGGGAGCACA